GCCUGGGUGGCUCAGUCAGUUAAGCGUCUGACUUCAGCUCAGGUCAUGAUCUCACAGCUCGUGAGUUCGAGCCCCGCAUCGGGCU
rnacentral:tRNA from 1 species